rnacentral:rRNA from 1 species
GACGAACGCUGGCGGCGUGCUUAACACAUGCAAGUCGAACGGAAAGGCCCUGCUUUUGUGGGGUGCUCGAGUGGCGAACGGGUGAGUAACACGUGAGUAACCUGCCCUUGACUUUGGGAUAACUUCAGGAAACUGGGGCUAAUACCGGAUAGGAGCUCCUGCUGCAUGGUGGGGGUUGGAAAGUUUCGGCGGUUGGGGAUGGACUCGCGGCUUAUCAGCUUGUUGGUGGGGUAGUGGCUUACCAAGGCUUUGACGGGUAGCCGGCCUGGGAGGGUGACCGGCGACAUUGGGACUGAGAGACGGCCCAGACUCCUACGGGAGGCAGCAGUGGGGAAUAUUGCACAAUGGGCGGAAGCCUGAUGCAGCAACGCCGCGUGCGGAAUGACGGCCUUCGGGGUGUAAACCGCUUUCGCCUGUGACGAAGCGUGAGUGACGGUAAUGGGUAAAGAAGCACCGGCUAACUACGUG